AGAGUUGUAAAUAAUUUACUAUCUGAAUUCCCUUUAAAUACUAGUGAAUAUUGUCCUAGAAUGCUUAAUUAUUCUCUAUUCGUCUUAUUUCUUUAAUUACCGUUUGUCUUUUAGAAGAGACAUUCUCGUAACCCUAUAAGGCAUUUAAAAUUAUUGUGUAAUGAAUGUAAACUCUAACUUUAUUAAUCACUUUCACAUUUAAUUUAUGAAUUUAUUUCCAUUUAAGGUUCCGGGCCUUUACAGUUGGUAUCAGAGGCGCGUUCCUCGGAAUCAUUACUUACACAAAGACUUAAAAAAAACUAAAUACAAACUAUCACUCAACCUUUUCUUAUGAAAUGCAGGUACAAAAAUAUGAAGAGAGGAAGACCCCUACUAAACCGAGUAGUCUGGGAUGGCUCACUUCAAGAAGAUGUUGACCGACUAUUUGAGAUGCUGGAGAGACUCAUCUAUACCCAACAGGCCUGAGAGG
rnacentral:lncRNA from 1 species